rnacentral:lncRNA from 10 species
CCCCGCUUGGCCUCCCAAAUUGCUGGGAUUACAGUUGUGAGCCACAGGUAGGAUGUUCUAAUCUUGCUUUGUGCCUUUCUGCCCCAGACCUAGAAUCAGCCAUUUACUAAGAAAACUCCGGUUUCUUUUAAUAGGAAUUGGUAUUAUCAAACUAUAGUUUAGGCCCUAGGUGUGCUGGUUACUAAGGGGGUUUAAUGGCUUCUGGACCUUUCAGGUAGACAGACCUAGGAAAUUAUUUUUAAGUGAUGAAAUUAAACUGAUAUCUCCAAGUCAGACUUUUUUUUUAAUUUUUUUUUUUGAGACAGGAUUACAUGCCUGUAAUCCUAGCACUCACUCUCUCCUAGGCUACAGUGCAGUGGCAGUAUCACCAUUCACUGCAGCCUCCAAAUCCCAGGCUAAAGGAAACUUCCCACCUCAGCCUCCCAAGUAGCUGGGACCACAGGCAUGUGCC